GACUCGAAAGAGCUGGUAUAUUUGCUUAUGGUGAGUGGGAGAGGCCAAGAAGUGUAAGAAGAGUGUUCAUUUUGACAUGGAACCAUUUUGCAUGCAGCAACUCCUUGCCACAUGGGCUAAUGCGAAGCGGUUGUUCCAUGACACAUUCUUUUUAUAUGUACACCCCUUUCUCUGUUGUUAAUUGCUUACCAUGAACACAGACAGAGAAUUGCUUUUCAUCACUAUUUUUAAGUAAAACAACAAAUGUUCGUACGUGACAUCACUGGAAAACCAACGAGGUUCCCAUGAGGCUAUCGAAAUGUCUUACUUUAAAAACGGCAGGUAGUAGUUUAGCAGCAAACGUUGUUUACUGCGUUUUUUGAAUUUGACAUUUUUGUAUAAACAAAUCAAUUAAACUAAUUAUUACAAGAAACUAGUUGUUUUAGUAGAAGUCGAGUUGAAAUUUGAGGUGUUCCGGAGAUAUUCUCACGAAGAGAAAUUAAAAGUGAAAUCACUGAUUGAAAAGGAAGCUCUUAAGAAGAAGUCACUUAUGGGAUUGAAAGAGCGAUGAAGGGGAGCUAUGAGUUACUGAAGAUAUUGAAGAAGAAAUUCGAUUGUAUUGUUUUCCAAUAUUCCGUUUUGUCAGUUUCCAUUUGUGCAGCGUGGCUCCUUUUGUUUUUAACAAUUAGCUUGUAACACAGCAGACUGCAAUGUGACGUAUUUCAAAAUACGUGAAAAAGUGUAUCUUAAUUGUGCGGAGAUUGAUAAAAUCUGGUGGUGAUUAUCAAAAUAGUGUUGCCACGACGAAGCAAUGAAGACACUUCCCGUUGGUAGAACGCAUAUACUAUAUCAUUUACUUAGGCGCUCAUGCUAAAUAUUUUUUAUUAUAUUCUCUGAAUAAUCGCUAUGCAGCCGCUAGAAUAGUAGUAAGCAUGCAGCCUCCUAGACCUAGGAACGGACCUGAAUAAAAAUCAAAUUAAGAAUUUCAACUUUCUCCUUACACAAAUAAAUUUAUAAUUUAACGGACUAGA